rnacentral:rRNA from 1 species
AGCAGCCGCGGUAAUUCCAGCUCCAAUAGCGUAUAUUAAAGUUGUUGCAGUUAAAAAGCUCGUAGUUGAAUUUCGGGAUCAGUACGCUGGUCGUGCCUUUGGUAUGUACUGGUGUCACUGAUUCCUCCCUUCUGAAGAACCGUUAUGCCAUUUAUUUGGUGUGGCGGGAAAUCAGGACUGUUACUUUGAAAAAAUUAGAGUGUUUAAAGCAGGCUCGCGCUUGAAUACAUUAGCAUGGAAUAAUGAAAUAGGACGUUUGAUCUUAUUUUGUUGGUUUCUAGGAUCGACGUAAUGAUUAAUAGGGAUAGUUGGGGGCAUUAGUAUUCAAUUGUCAGAGGUGAAAUUCUUGGAUUUAUUGAAGACUAACUACUGCGAAAGCAUUUGCCAAGGAUGUUUUCAUUAAUCAAGAACGAAAGUUAGGGGAUCGAAGACGAUCAGAUACCGUCGUAGUCUUAACCAUAAACUAUGCCGACUAGGGAUCGGAUGAUGUAAUUUUUAAUGACUCAUU